CGUAGGGGGCGAGCGUUGUCCGGAUUCAUUGGGCGUAAAGCGCGCGCAGGCGGCUUCGUAAGUCGGCCGUGAAAUCUCCAGGCUCAACUUGGAGGGGUCGGGCGAGACUGCGGAGCUAGAGGCAGGUAGAGGGCGGUGGAAUUCCGGGUGUAGUGGUGGAAUGCGUAGAGAUCCGGAGGAACACCAGUGGCGAAGGCGGCCGCCUGGGCCUGACCUGACGCUGAGGCGCGAAAGCGUGGGGAGCGAUCCGGAUUAGAUACCCGGGUAGUCCACGCCGUAAACGAUGGGCACUAGGUGUCGGGGGUAUCGACCCCCCCGGUGCCGUCGCUAACGCAGUAAGUGCCCCGCCUGGGGAGUACGGCCGCAAGGCUA
rnacentral:rRNA from 1 species